rnacentral:rRNA from 1 species
UACGAAGGGGGCUAGCGUUGCUCGGAAUCACUGGGCGUAAAGGGCGCGUAGGCGGCGUGUCAAGUCAGGCGUGAAAGCCCCGGGCUCAACCUGGGAACCGCGCUUGAGACUGGCAUGCUCGAGUUCGGGAGAGGAUGGUGGAAUUCCCAGUGUAGAGGUGAAAUUCGUAGAUAUUGGGAAGAACACCGAUGGCGAAGGCAGCCAUCUGGACCGACACUGACGCUGAGGCGCGAAAGCUAGGGGAGCGAAUGGG